AGAUCUAUGUGUAGGUGCUACUGCUAACAACAGGAAUCCUGCACCAACCAAAGUUUGGAAGUACAUUAUCAAAGACUUGGUCGUUACGUACUUUCCAAAUGCAGCAGGUCUCUAAAUAGCAAUUUCCAUGGCAAAUAGUUUGUUGAUCUGUUCGUUAACAAUCUCUAUCCCUCGAAUAAUUUUGUUGCCUUUUCUCUAUUAGCAUUGCAAGGCAAAUGAAAAAUCCAAGAAAAAUACAGCUAUAUUCCUUGACAUUAGCACUCGAUCCGGCAGAACAUUUCCAAAGCAAAUUGAAAUGGAAUAAAAGAUCCCUCAACUAUAAAUAUGCCCGCCAAAAGACUAAGGCACACCAUGGAAUCAGGAGCCCUGCUGGAUUAGUAGCAAUAGAUGUCAAUAAGGAAGCUCAUAGUUAUAUAAAAUAGCAAUAGAUAAUUUUUUUGACGAAUAGAUCAACAAAAAGAUAAAAAAGCAAUAGAUAUAUUACUAGUCCCAACGAAAAGAUUGAUCACAUGACAGUCAUGAUAUGAGAAGAAAAAAGACAGAUGCAUCAAGUAGCGGAACGGGGCAAGAACACAACCCACUUUAUUUUUUGCAUGUAUUCUCAGCAUAGAUGAAUUAUACAAUUAGAAGAAAAAAUACUACCAUGAGACGGUACAUAAAAGAUCCCUUGCCAAACCCCAAGUAAAAGGCAACACAAUUGUAAGUGAGAGUAAUAAACAUGGUCACAAAGCUGAUGACACCUACAUUGGUAAUGGCCUAGCUCUCUACAGUUUUUGAUGAAGAUUUUGCCCCACGUUACUCACAAUAAGAAGGGAACAUUACCUACAGAUGCGAAAUCACUUUAGAGCAGCCGAAAGAUGAAGAUUUGAGCACCCACUCCACUACUCCUUUGGCAAAUUUUUGGUCAUUUCCACAAUCAAAUUAACAAAAAAUGGAAUGAUCCAAUGAGUCUACAGCACCAACAAAAAUGAAAUCAUGUGCAUUUGAUAGAAAUGUACAUAUGAAUAUAUCAACAAACUUCAACAAAUUGAUAUAUUGAACCCUUUAGAACUGUUGAUGCACAAAUAUUGAACCAUACAUAACUGGUGAUUAUUUGCUAGAUUU
rnacentral:lncRNA from 1 species